rnacentral:rRNA from 1 species
GGCUCACCUAGGCGACGAUCCCUAGCUGGUCUGAGAGGAUGACCAGCCACACUGGAACUGAGACACGGUCCAGACUCCUACGGGAGGCAGCAGUGGGGAAUAUUGCACAAUGGGCGCAAGCCUGAUGCAGCCAUGCCGCGUGUGUGAAGAAGGCCUUCGGGUUGUAAAGCACUUUCAGCGGGGAGGAAGGCGGUGAGGUUAAUAACCUCAUCGAUUGACGUUACCCGCAGAAGAAGCACCGGCUAACUCCGUGCCAGCAGCCGCGGUAAUACGGAGGGUGCAAGCGUUAAUCGGAAUUACUGGGCGUAAAGCGCACGCAGGCGGUCUGUCAAGUCGGAUGUGAAAUCCCCGGGCUCAACCUGGGAACUGCAUUCGAAACUGGCAGGCUAGAGUCUUGUAGAGGGGGGUAGAAUUCCAGGUGUAGCGGUGAAAUGCGUAGAGAUCUGGAGGAAUACCGGUGGCGAAGGCGGCCCCCUGGACAAAGACUGACGCUCAGGUGCGAAAGCGUGGGGAGCAAACAGGAUUAGAUACCCUGGUAGUCCACGCCGUAAACGAUGUCGAUUUGGAGGUUGUGCCCUUGAGGCGUGGCUUCCGGAGCUAACGCGUUAAAUCGACCGCCUGGGGAGUACGGCCGCAAGGUUAAAACUCAAAUGAAUUGACGGGGGCCCGCACAAGCGGUGGAGCAUGUGGUUUAAUUCGAUGCAACGCGAAGAACCUUACCUGGUCUUGACAUCCACAGAACUUUCCAGAGAUGGAUUGGUGCCUUCGGGAACUGUGAGACAGGUGCUGCAUGGCUGUCGUCAGCUCGUGUUGUGAAAUGUUGGGUUAAGUCCCGCAACGAGCGCAACCCUUAUCCUUUGUUGCCAGCGGUUCGGCCGGGAACUCAAAGGAGACUGCCAGUGAUAAACUGGAGGAAGGUGGGGAUGACGUCAAGUCAUCAUGGCCCUUACGACCAGGGCUACACACGUGCUACAAUGGCAUAUACAAAGAGAAGCGACCUCGCGAGAGCAAGCGGACCUCAUAAAGUAUGUCGUAGUCCGGAUUGGAGUCUGCAACUCGACUCCAUGAAGUCGGAAUCGCUAGUAAUCGUAGAUCAGAAUGCUACGGUGAAUACGUUCCCGGGCCUUGUACACACCGCCCGUCACACCAUGGGAGUGGGUUGCAAAAGAAGUAGGUAGCUUAACCUUCGGGAGGGCGCUUACCACUUUGUGAUUCAUGACUGGGGUGAAGUCGUAACAAGGUAACCGUAGGGGAACCUGCGGUUGGAUCACCUCCUUACCUUAAAGAA